UGGGGAAUUUUGGACAAUGGGCGAAAGCCUGAUCCAGCAAUGCCGCGUGUGUGAAGAAGGCCUUCGGGUUGUAAAGCACUUUUGUCCGGAAAGAAAUCCUUGGCUCUAAUACAGUCGGGGGAUGACGGUACCGGAAGAAUAAGCACCGGCUAACUACGUGCCAGCAGCCGCGGUAAUACGUAGGGUGCAAGCGUUAAUCGGAAUUACUGGGCGUAAAGCGUGCGCAGGCGGUUUGCUAAGACCGAUGUGAAAUCCCCGGGCUCAACCUGGGAACUGCAUUGGGUGACUGGCAGGCUAGAGUAUGGCAGAGGGGGGUAGAAUUCCACGUGUAGCAGUGAAAUGCGUAGAGAUGUGGAGGAAUACCGAUGGCGAAGGCAGCCCCCCUGGGCCAAUACUGACGCUCAUGCACGAAAGCGUGGGGGAGCAAACAGGAUUAGAUACCCUGGUAGUCCACGCCCUAAACGAUGUCAACUAGUUGUUGGGGAUUCAUUUCCUAGUAACGUAGCUAACGCGUGAAGUUGACCGCCUGGGGAGUACGGUCGCAAGAUUAAACUUAAAUGAAUUGACGGGGUCAUAGCUGUUUCCU
rnacentral:rRNA from 1 species